UCAGCAUUCAUUGGCACCAGAGA
rnacentral:miRNA from 1 species